CCUCUAUCUUGGCAUGCCUUUACAUAGUUGAUUGUAAAGCAUGAAUGCUUAAUAGAGGAAGAAUAAAAAAGUGAAGUAAGCCUUCGGUGCUCAAUUGCUCAUAUAUUUGGGUCCCAUCCUCUUUUGCUUCAAACAAGG
rfam:Pediculus humanus corporis strain TSDA 1103172095664, whole genome shotgun sequence.